GAUGAACGCUAGCGGCAGGCCUAAUACAUGCAAGUCGAACGGUAACAGGGUAGCAAUACCGCUGACGAGUGGCGCACGGGUGCGUAACGCGUAUGCAACUUACCUUAAACUGGGAGAUAGCCCCUCGAAAGAGGGAUUAAUACCCCAUAGUAAUUAGAAGAGGCAUCUCUUUUAGUUUAAAGCUCCGGCGGUUUAAGAUGGGCAUGCGUGACAUUAGCUAGUUGGUGAGGUAAUGGCUCACCAAGGCUACGAUGUCUAGGGGUUCUGAGAGGAUGAUCCCCCACACUGGUACUGAGACACGGACCAGACUCCUACGGGAGCAGCAGUAAGGAAUAUGGUCAAUGGGCGCAAGCCUGAACCAGCCAUGCCGCGUGAAGGAUGACGGCCCUAUGGGUUGUAAACUUCUUUUGUACGGGAAUAAACCCAGAUACGUGUAUCUGGCUGAAUGUACCGUAAGAAUAAGGAUCGGCUAACUCCGUGCCAGCAGCCGCGGUAAAGUAU
rnacentral:rRNA from 1 species